UGGACCAGUGAUGGCAAGUGGUGGCAUAUGAGUCAUGCACAGUGAAUGUCGUGUGCCUGGAACUCUGAGGUCCAA